rnacentral:rRNA from 1 species
AAUGAACGCUGGCGGCAUGCCUAACACAUGCAAGUCGAACGAAAAGUUCAGGUGUAGUGGCGCCCGACUGUGUCACGCGACGGAACAUGAACAUGGGGUUGACAUAACUAUCAGACCGGGGUACUAUCAGCGAAUAAUGUCUUCGGCCCAAAAAUUUAUCGCCCUUGUAUGGGCAAUCGUUGGAUUAGCUUGUUGGUACGGUAAUAGCCUAACACGGCCCCGAUCCAUAGCUGGGUAGUGAGGAUGCUCAGCCACACUGGGACUGAGACACGGCCCAGACUCCUACGGGAGGCAGCAGUGGGGAAUAUUGGACAAUGGGCGAAAGCCUGAUCCAGCAAGGCCGCGUGAGUGAUGAAGGCCGUAGGGUUGUAAAGCGCUUUUACCCGGGAUGAUAAUGACAGUACCGGGAGAAUAAGCUCCGGCUAACUCCGUG